rnacentral:misc_RNA from 1 species
GGACUACCAGGGUUUCUAAUCCCAUUUGCUACCCUAGCUUUCGUCUCUCAGUGUUAGUAAUAGCCCAGUAAAGUGCCUUCGCCAUUGGUGUUCUUUCCAAUCUCUACGCAUUUCACCGCUCCACUGGAAAUUCCCUUUACCCCUACUAUACUCUAGUCAAACAGUUUCGACUGCGAUUUUGAGGUUGAGCCUCAAGAUUUAACAGUUGACUUAUUUAACCACCUACAGACGCUUUACGCCCAGUGAUUCCGGAUAACACUUGCAUCCCCCGUCUUACCGCGGCGGCUGGCACAG